GCUGUCGAGAUUCAUGUCGCAGACUGUGGCUCCGUCAGCGUUAGGACCUGCCUGUGCUACUACAUCUAGUUUCAUCAAUUAACACGUUCUCUCCGUGGUCCAAUCCUGCAAACAUGUUUGUAUUUACAUAGCUGUAAAUACAUAUUGCAGAACUACUCACAUGUUUAUGAGUAGGCCUGAAAAAUAGGCCACAGUCAUUUGCUCUGGUUUGAAAAUUCUUUAGGUCAUUAACUCUGUUCUUUCAAGUUAGUAUGAAGUGAUAAGCGUAUUGUUUAAGCAGAAUCUGUGUAAUGAAGGCCCAUGUGUACAUACAUUGAAAAGUGAGAUAAAGGGGUUGGCGUUUAACAGUAUGCAUGCAUUUAUCAUUUGUUAUGCCUCUUAAAAGGAAAGACGAAGCAUCUUUUAAAAAAAACACUUUUGAAAGCUUUUCUGCUUCCAGAAUGUGUGCAUUUGUAUUGCAAAGAACUUCAUUAUUCACUGGUUGGCAUAAGAAAUUGGUUGUGUGUUCUCUCUUCACUUUUAAGUUUCUGGGGAGUAGCAGGUUGGAUGAUAUGCUUUUUUUUCAAAGCAAACUUUUUAAAUAAUAUUAUUAUUAUUUCAGUGGAAGCCAGGAACAAACUAGACUGACACCUUCUGCUCAUAAGAAGAGCACUAAGUGAAAUCAUCUUCUAAAAAUGCAGCCACAGAAUGUAGGUGGUAAGCAGUAUCUGUCGUUUCAGCCUUUGGCUGGAAAACUUAGAAAUACAAAACAGUGGCAGCUUUGUUGACAUGAUGAAUUUCACAAGUAGUCAUGCUGCCUUAGCACUUGAUAUGUGGUCAUUUAGAAUAUGUGUAUUUAUUCUAAAUACGUAUCUCAUUGUCUAAAGCUGAAGAGCAUGACAGAGUUUAAUUUCCAUCAUAAACUGUAGUUGACAGAAUAGUAACCAGAAACCUUAAGAUCCUUUCUCCUUUUUCUUUUUCCAAAUGUGCGUGCUGAAUUUUUUGUCUCUGGCAUGGUUUUGCUGCAGAUUUCUUCAGAAAAUAAUUAACUAGUUAUUUCUGUAAGUGGUGCACUCUGUGAUGACUUGAUUGACUCUCCGUAGCACGAAAAUUCUGUAAACAUAGAGAGCAGCUUCUUGAAGUGGACUAUGCUUUGUUUUCAGGAUUUACAGUAGGUUGAUUAAUAAUGUCCUUAAACGUUGAAAGGAGAAGAAGCAACAAGAUUAGCAUUUUAAUAGCUGCUUAAUGAUGUCAGUAGUAGGUGAUACAUUUCAAAUAAUAAUGUAUUUUAUUAGAUAAACAUUGAAAUUUUUUUUAUAUCAAGCUGAGGUUUGUCCUGAUGAAAGCUUUCAUGUGCCAUAUUCUUUCUUUGCAUGUAGGUACAAAUGGGUUGCAGUGAAAUGGAAGGGGCUAAUUUCUUAAAGAUUUUUAGUAGCAGAGGAAAUGGUACAAGUGAAUCUCUGUGACUUAGAACAAGAUAUCCAAAACUAUUUUUGCAAUAUUGCUACUAUUACUUUAAAAGGAGCUAAGGAAAAAAUAGUAACUAUAGAAAUCAGUUUGUAAGUCCUAAGUUCCAAUGAUAAACUGUGCUACUGUAAAAUUGUGUUGUCCCUCAUUAUCAUGAAGGAUGAGGAAUAUAGAAUUUUUCUGUCAACUUAUGGCAGGAAUUUUUAAGGCUUUUUUGGUGGGGGAAGUUUUGAAAUCUUUCUGGUACGUAGGUCACAGAGCUCUAAUAUUUGUUAGAUAGUGCUUGUUCUCAGGCUUUUGAUUCUGUAUCAGCCAUACCUCUCUAAUGGUUAUAGCAGGAUGGUUUCUAGAAAUCUGGGUGAGAAGAAAUCUGUUACAGGUCAUCGGAUCGUUAGCAUACUGAGAAAGAUGAGGGUAAAUAGAAACUGAUUAUCAGUUGUCUAAAAUUUUGCAUUGCUCAAUAUAAAGACAGAGACUAUAUAAAGCCACUUAUCAGCUGAGAUUGGACAUCUAGUGAAGUGUCCCUUUCUUCCUGCUUUUUAUUAGCAGUUAAGGUGAGAGUGUUUAACACCCUUCAUCUAGUCUGACCUCCUGCGAAGGUUAAGUUUUUAUGCUAGAGAAAGGCAUUGACUCUUGAAAAAAGCAUAAAAUGUAAUCUAUGUCUUCACUUGAUAGUGUAUUUCAAUAGCUAGUAAUCCCUCUGUUUAAAGUGCAUGUCUGUCUUAUGAUUAGAAUGUGACUUCAGCUUCCACUUACAGGAAGAGGGGAGGGGAUGGCUCUGCAAAAGCGGUCAGCAGUAUCUUGUAUUUUCUUGCUGGGAAUGCAUUUAAAACUAAAAAACCACUCAGUAUUUUUUUGAUGAAAUGCAUGGAUUGAUGUCCUGAAAUCUUGUGUUAUGCCCAUCUUCCUUAGUCCCCUCACAGAUUUGCAAUCUUUUUUUAAGGAGAUAAACCCCUGUUACGGGUUUCUUCAGUGAUCUAUAUAUGGGUAAAAUCCCCUCUUCUUUCUUUGUACGCUAUUGAUGGUGUUUCCAAGAUGCAUGUCACAUUCUGUCACAGUGUUAAGUUGGAAUCUCACGUUCAAUUCCUUGUUCGUUAUGACCCUAAUGCCUUUUUCAGAGUCAACAGGUUUUCAGUGUGCUGUUUUCCCAGUGUUCAAGGUUCAGUUUUGUAUUCUUUUCCUGGAUGUAUAACCUGAGAUUUGGCUAUUAAAAAAAAA